rnacentral:rRNA from 1 species
AACGAACGCUGGCGGCAUGCCUAACACAUGCAAGUCGAACGAGACCUUCGGGUAUAGUGGCGCACGGGUGCGUCCCGCGUGGGAACCUGCCCUUAGGUUCGGAAUAACUCCCCGAAAGGGGUGCUAAUACCGGAUAAUGUCUUCGGGCCAAAGAUUUAGCGCCUUUGGAUGGGCCCGCGUUGGAUUAGCUAGUUGGUAGGGUAAAAGCCUACCAAGGCGACGAGCCAUAGCUGGUCUGAGAGGAUGAUCAGCCACACUGGGACUGAGACACGGCCCAGACUCCUGGGGGGGGCAGCAGUGGGGAAUAUUGGACAAUGGGCGAAAGCCUGAUCCAGCAAGGCCGGGUGGGUGAUGAAGGCGUUAGGGUUGUAAAGCUCUUUUACCCGGGAUAAUAAUGACAGUACCGGGAGAAUAAGCUCCGGCUACCUCCGU